rnacentral:lncRNA from 1 species
CUUUCUCUAUUUGGAUUUCGUUAGAUCUUAUUUUCUUAUCUUUUGUUUUCUCUAUCCUUACUCCCUAGAUUCCUUUUAACUUUCUCUCCAUCGUCAUUCUUACUGCCCAUUUGAAAUAAAACCAUAUGUAACAAAAUCACAGAUUAUUUUCACCGUUUGUUCUUCUCUACGAUUCAAUCAUCAUGUAUUCCCUGUCGUUAACAAUUUUUCUUUAGAGCUUUUUUCAUUCUUUUCUAAAUUAACAAAAAUGGAUGACCAUAAUAGCGGGAAAAAAAUUACCAUUUGAGGAUCAUUAGGAUCUGACUGGAAGAAAGAAACCUUGUGUGGUAUUUCUACAGGAACAUUCACUUUUGCUUGGAUUCUCCAGAAGGUUCUAGAUUCUUCCUCUCACACUCCCCCCUUUACCCGCCCAGUGCAGAGACCGGAACUCUGCGCUAUGCAGAGGCAUUAUUUGCAGAAAACAAACUCCAAUUAAGCAUCUUCAAAUAAAUAUAAAAAAUAGGCACCUUCAACGGUCAAUAUUUCCAAAAUUGAAGUAAAAAUGCACAUAUAAUACAGCUAUAAUUGAAGCAAAAAAGCAUUGCACAACGUGAUCAGAGCCCUGACGCUAGAAGCCCCUACUUUCUUUAAUCAUAUUUUCUUAACAAUGAAGCCAAGAAAUCGUGACCGGAGUCUGGAAGAGAGCUAGAAAGGAAAGGGUUUAUUGCCUUGAACGAGUGUGCCAAAUAAAAUAAAAAGAAAUGGAAAACAUCACACGACGUCAUUUUGAAGAAAGGAAAGAAAUGAAAAAAAAAAUUGAAUUAGAUGGUGAUGAAAGGAAUAGCUGACACAUGUCUGGCCAAAGAUAGCCUCUUUUAUACAUGUAGGAUGUCCAGUAUGCUAAUCCGAGGAAGACUGGAAGUCAAUUGCUUAAAAUAUUUCAAGUUUUACUAUGCAGAUUUCAAGAAGUAUAUUUAGGUAACGGUGUAAAAAUGCUUAUAAAAACUUGGUUUUAACUAGAAUGAAUAAUUAGUUGCUGCCUGUAGGCAUUUAAAGAAAAGUUAGUGUCGAAAAUUAAAAAACUGCUAGUGGAAAUUUCUGAAACCUUGUGUGGACACUCUUGGUUCUGCCUCCUUGUAUUGGCAAACCAAGUGGUAGCAGUCUUGAUGGUCAUUUAAUUUUACUUUGUCUUGCCUUUGUAUCAGUGUGAUCUAGGAUUCACACCUAGGUGACUUGUGUCCAAAAUGAGGCUAUUUUAAGGUCUUUAAAUGGUACUCAUGUCUUCUGACAUUGAGGUUGUAAGAUGCAUUAUAUAAGACUCUGAUAUUUAUUGUUUAUGUUCAGUAUGAAGUGUUUAUAAUGCUACACCUAUUGUAAAGUUACAAGUACAUUCUUUUGAUUUGAAGAAAAUUUGAAAAAUUCAAGAAGGAGAGCGCUCGGCCUUGGUUGAAAGAAUUGUAGGUGUAAAUGGACUGAUUUCACUAGCAGAGCACUUUCUCCAAUGUGCGCAAACAUAGAUGCCACCAUUAAUGAUGUCCACCGGCCCUUGUGUUAAAGUAAGAUCAAGUUUCGCUUGCAAACCGACCGUUAUGAACUGAUAAUCAUUAGAGUAAAGCAUCUAUUUUCUACUUAAGGCUGCUCAACCUGGUGAUAAAGGGAAUUCUUGGAUUAUUAUCUUUUCAACUUGAUUAUUUGGCUUUCUAUUUUCGUAGUUUUUCACUCAACUUUAAUCUCUAUUCUAGGUAAAAUUAUUUGCAAACAUUAUAAAAGUCAUGGUGAUUGCAAGUUCUGAAGUGUAUGUCUUUUUGACCAUCCCAUUAGCCAUUGCUUGUCAGCAUAUUCGGAUUGACAUGCUUUGAAGACUUCGGUUGACUUUGAUGCUGGAUCUUGGGAUGAUUAGAAUAGUUGGAGUGGGAAAUUUUCGUCAUUGUAAUUUUUUGGUUCUCUAUGGGAAACAAACCCGUUUUACUUCGAAUCACUCUGAUAGGCUAUUUUAUAUAGUUUUACUUAGAACUACAUUAAACAAAGAAAGAUAGACUGAUGUUAGAAAAAUUUUGCAGCCUAUCAUUUGGAAUGCAUAAAUCGAGGUAAAACAUUGCUCAUGCAAUGUUACUUUAAGGUUUCUAUAGGGAGAUACUACUAUUUAACUCUAUCUUAUUUGAAUAGUUUACAGGACAUGCUUAUUUUUUUGUUUAAGGCAAAUCAAUAAUUUUCUUCGAUUUAUUAAAAUGAUGUGUUCUGUGUUUAUUCUGUAUGAAUUAAUGAAGUUAUUAUCGAUUUCAUGCAAUUUCAAAAAAUAUAUAUAAUUUUGUUGGUUAAUUUGAAAUUGUUGUACAAACAGAAAAAUGAAAAAGAAAAAAAGACAUACUGCAAUGGCCAAAAAAUGUUGCAAAAAGUAAGAGUAUAAAUGAUUUUUUUAUAUAUAUAGAUAGGAAACGGCAACGGGCAACGAAUGUUGUGAAAACAUCAAUGACAACGAGCAAAAGUUGUUACGAAAACAUCAACGACAAUGGGCAAAAAAGUUGCUAAAACGUUAACGACAAUGGGCAAUGAACGUUGCUAAUACAUCAUGGCAACAAACAUGGAAUGUUGCUAAAAUAUCAAUGGCAAUACAUAUUGAACGUUGCGAAAAUAUCAAUAGCAUCACAAAGUGAACGUUGCUAAAACUUUAACGGCAACGGGUAAUGAAUGUAGUAAAAAGUUUUUUUUUGCAACGGUCUUUGAAUGUUGUCGUAUCCCUCUGCUCUACGAAAAUGUCAAAUCCCGCAACAUACGUUCGAACGUUGCAAAAGGCUUUUGGCAAUUUUUGUUACUUUUGCAAAAAACUGUUUUUGGUGUAGUGAUUUUACAUUUUAAUUAAAAUGAUUUAGUGUUAUAUCUUUUUUAUAUUAAAUUUAACUUACUUCUAUAAUUAUUUUUAAAUUAUACGUUAGAUAUAGAAAUUUAUAUUUUCUUUAAUUUUUUUUUAAAGAAUUUAUUUUGUCCUUAAAUUUAAAUUGAUUUCUUUAUAAUCCAAUUUUUUAAAUUGAUUUUUUCGAAGGACUUGAUAAGUAAAUUAAACUACAAUUUCAUUUUUUAAAAAUCAAAUCAGUUAAUUUGUAUACAAGUUAAUUUAAUAUUGUGGUUAUUUGCUUUAAUUAAACCAACUUUCUCUUUGUUACUUUUGCUUUGUUCUAUCAUCUUUAAAAUAAAAAAAAUAAUAAUAAUUGUAAGAAGUAUAUGGACACUCAUAUUCAAAAUUUAGUUUUUAAUCAUGUCCCCAUAUCUUAAUAUUUAUAAGGGAAAAUUACUUAUAAACUUACAUUUAAUGAUCAAUUUUCAUAAAUAAGUAAAAUCAGUUUUAAAUUAAAAAAUUAGGUGGUAAAUAAAGUUAACUAAGAUUAUAAAAUUAAAUUAAUUUACAUACCCACCCCAACCCCCACCCUACCACACAAUAAAACCCCCGAAAUCAUUUUUUGUGUCAUCUCUCUCAUCCAUUACCCAUCCUUUCUCUAACUCUCUUCUUACUGCUCCUCUUACUUUCUUUCGAUGGCUCAUUUCGACAACACUGCUCCUUUUCCAGUGGCUAAGCACAACACAAAUGUUGCGUGCUGGGCGUCGCUACAAGAUGCGCAGCUAUGUGCGGUGGUUUCUUCACGAUUUGUUUCUGAUUUGAUAUAAUCUUCCGGAGAUGAUGUGGGUUGUUUGUGCUGUGGUUGGUGGUUGUUCAUAAUUACUGCAAUUUUUUGAUGGCCGGUGAUUUUUUUGUGAUUCGAUCUUUUUAGUAGUUGUGGUAAUUUUUUGGUGAUAAAUUUUUAUGAUAUUCCUUCUCUCUAUCUUUUCUCUCUAUCAUCCUCUCUACCACAUCUUUCCGGCACCACUGUACAUGGUGGAAAAGAAUAAGCAGCAAUGCGUCAUUGCUGCUAUGCCUUGCUUCGCCGUUGUUGUUUGUCGUGGUUUUGUAAUCUGAGAUUGCCCGUCGCCACCAUGGUUUGGAAGGGUGGAUAUUGGUUUUUUCUUUUUUCCUCUUUGAAAAUGAUUAGGGAUGGUUGUUAUUGUUUUACAAAUGGUGUUGAUAAUUUUUCGAUCUGUUAUUGUUGAUGGUUCUAUUGGUGAUAGUGUAGGAGGUGAUGGUUCUGUUGUUGAUGGUGCAUAUUGUCAUGGUGAGGUGGUGUGCUUUUGGUUCUUGACAAUGUUGGGAGUGGUGGUGGUGGUGGUGCUAGAAACCUGGUGUAAUCAAGUCUAUCUUCAUUAUAUCUCUCUGUGACCAUAUCUGUGUUAAACUGUGACUGUAUGUGACUUGGUUACAUACAGUUACAAAUUAGACUUACAUGGUCACAAACAGUCACAUUGAAUAUAAAGUUGGUCACAGUUAGUUAAUGAUAACAUAUACCAGUGAAGGUAGUAUUGGUCGAAAAUUUGAGUUGAAGGUGGUAGUGAUGGUACAUUGAAGAUGGUGGUGGUGAAUGGUGGUGGAUUGUGAUAUUGGUCUGAAGUGUGUACUGAUUUGUUAGUGGUGAUCCCAUGUGACGAAGUAUGUGUUUGUUGUAACUGUUUGUGGCCAAUUUUUUGUUGAUUGUGACUAGCUGUGACUUGGUCACAUUUAAGGUUGACCUGGUCACGGACAGACAUAUGAAAUACAAAUUUGGUCAUAGCUAAUCACAUCAAAGACAAAAUUGGUCUCAAUUAAUUGCAGAUAACAUAGGUCAGUGAAUUGGUUCAUACAAUUACAAAUUAGAUGAUCACAUAUAGUCACAACGAAAACAAAUUGAUCACAAAUAAUCACAUUUUAUCAAAUUUUAUCAAAAUUUACUAGAAAUUCAUCACUCCACCAAAUAGAUGCUAAGUAUGGUGGGGAUACCGUAGCACUAGAGAUUUUCAUUGGUUCUCUUAAAAGUAAAGAUAUGGAAAUUAAGGCUGAAAAAGAAGAUAAAAGGAGUAGUGAGUGAUGAUGAAGAAUAGAAUGAAAUUUAAGCAAAUGAAUUGGGGUAGAGUUUAAGAUAGUAUUAAGAAGAAAAGCAAGAGUUGGGACAAGGUAAGCGAAGAUACGGUUGUGGUAAGUCUGGACACUUUGUAAGAGACUGCUCCAAGAAGAAGCAUAAGCAAAAAGGCUUAAGAUGAGAGGUUAAGCGAACGUGGCAAUAAAGUCAACUGAUGCACUAGUAAUAAGCGUGUUGUGUGUCUAUAUGGAGUAUAGAUGCUAGGGGAAUGUAGAGUGUGACAUUUAAAUCACAAGUGGAGAAGUGAUUAAAUGUUGAAAUUCUUCAACUGUAAAGAUCCUAGUCAAGUAGAGUGAGAGCGGCAAUUCUAUAUCGUUGGCAAUUCUAUAUCUUUUGUUAGGCAGAAACCUAUUAUCCAUUUAGGUUACGAGAAGUUAUGUGAUGAUAUAGAUAUCUCGUGGACCUAGGAUCUAUUGUGAUUUACUAGUUAAACAUGGGUUGAAUGAUUAGUUUAGUGAGCAUGGUAGGCAUGAGAGGAGAUAUGUGCUCUCAAGGUGUAGGCAAAUGGAAUGAGAUAAGUGUGAUGAAAUUUUUCGUGGAGUCAUUCAUGCAUUUAUUGCAAUGUGUUGGCCGUUUGUUGAUUGGAUAUAUGCUUCUACUUAGGUGUUUCGGCUAUGAUUUCAAAUGUCGGAUUGAAUUUCAUAGAUCGAUGAGUGAAAUUAUUACCAACAACCAAGUCCAAAAACUCGACCCAAAAAUAACGUGGACCAUAGUAAGUAGCUUAAGAAAUCAAUGCUAUUCACGACCCAUUUAUAAAUACCUAUUAGAUGACUUCAAAUAUUGUCCCGUUUAACCCUUUUAUUGGUCCAACUAAAGACCAACCCUAUAAUACAUGUUUCUUUUUUGCCCUAGCCUAUGAAAAAUGGCUACCUUUGUGGAAAAAGAAAAAUCGAUGACUUUUUGCUUUGCAUAUUUUGAUCUCCCUUUGUGUCUUUUUCCAUUCUCAUGCCUUUGUGGCUUGCAUUUUAUCACCAUUAUCUUGUCCUUUAUAGGUAAGAUUGAGAAGUAACCAAGUGAAUUGUAGGUUGUAGCCAUUUGGAUUGACUGUUUGGCAGAGAAAGGUAACAUGAAAGUGAGCGUGAAAGACACCAAUUUAAAGAUCUUGGACAAACUUCACGAUAGUUUGCUCUCCAACGUUGACAAAGUUCUGGAUUAAAUCUCUCCAAGUUCGUUGCUUGUUAUUUAAAAAUAAGAUCUCUUGGCUUUACUCUCAUUAUAUUGGUCCAAUUGACCAUGGUCGAGAGCAUAUUCAUCCUAAAAGUUAAGUCAUUGGAGUAAUCUCACGACUUAUCACAGUUUGAGUAUUUCCCAUAUAGCCAAGUCGAAUGAAUAUAUGAUGACACGACCCGUCCCAAAUCACCCUAUGAACCCAAAACGCGACGUGCGCCGAUAGUAAAUACUGACUAGAUGCCAGAUCCACCACUAAGGUUGACUAUGAGUUAUUACAAAAUAUGAGACAAAAUCAAAUGUUUAAAUAAAUAAAUAUUGCAAUGGGCUCACAGUAAUUACUUCAUGUUUUAUCAAAUUGACUCAUGUCAUUCAAUAUGUCGUGUGGCUCCAACUCUAGAAUCACUAGGCUUCUCAACCCAUCAAGGACUAGUACAAUACUACCUGUAAGAAUAAUUUUAGAAAAAUAUAAGUUGAUAGCUUAGUGAGUAGAAGAGUUCAAAAAUAAUUAUACUUUCUCCUUUAAACAUUUUACCAAAUAUCAAGUUCAUAUCGUUUAAUAUUCACAUGAUAAACUCAUACAAUGAUAGCAAAAAAGUAAGACAUUCUUAUAACACUGUAAAUAUCAUCUCAUAAUCAUGAUAUAGUCUUCAGCUGAUAUCUAUACCAUCAUCUCAUUACAUCACAUGUGAUCCACCAAAAAUAUACCAUUUUACUAAAAUCUGAAAUUCCGCCCCUCAGGCCAAACACUUUUGUCACGGGCCUCUAGCCCUCUCCUGAAUGAAAGUGGGUCUCAUUAACUCUGGUAAUCAAUUUUAGAACAUGGUCAAGGCCCCUCAGUGAAUUAUAUGUACACGGUCACGACCCCUCAUCCCUAGUCAACCCCUUAGUGUAGUAUAGAAUACGGCCAAGGUGUCUUAGUGAAUUAGAAAAAAAUAUAUAAUCAUGGGUACUUUUCAGGUCGAUCUUAAUAUUACAUGUCUCACAUACCAAACACAAAUGUGUCAUAAAUGAUCUUUGAGAUUCCAAAUGUAUCAUAGUAAAAGAAAUUUUCAUAAUAAUCAUAUAAUCGCACACAUAAUUGCAUAUAAUUGCACGUACUUUGAUAAUAUACUUAAUUUAUAAAUACUUUAAAAAUAUUCAUAUUUUUUCACUCACAGAUCUAUGGACAGAAAUCUGGCUAAAUUGACGAAUCUUUCCAAACUUUCACAUCACUACCUGAAAUAACGGUAUAAUUACUCAAAUUAAAACUUGACAAUUAAAUUAAUACAUUCCACCACUUAACCCCUCAACUUCUAUAUUUACUCUUACAUCUCCAAUUCCCCAACUUUCAUUCUGUUUAUUAUUCAUCAACUAAACACCAUGCAUUAUCAAAUCCGUUAAAUUACUCAUACUUCCUUAAAAUCAAGAACUUAUACAUAUACAAGCCCUAUACAUAAUUUAUUUCAAUACAUAAACCUCAAUACUUGUCAUAUAACUUCAUUCAAGCCUUUAAAAAUAUGAAAAUAAGAGUUUUGACAAAAAAGUACUAAAAUGCCAUAAUAUUGAAAUCUGGCAGCAAAACCUUUGACAGAAUUAGCACUAUUCUGGGCAGAUUUUCAGAGGAACACCUAUGUGAGAUUUUGUCCAAAAAUUGCUUAUAAUAAUUACUUAAAAGGGAGAAAUCAACCUCAAUUCCUUAAUUUAAAUGCUUGACAUCAUAUAACCCCAAGAAAAUCAUUGAAUAAAUAUCUAUUUCAUAAACCCUAAAGAUUUCAUUAAAAUAUUUUCACUCACCUAUUGAAUACAAAGAGGAAUUGAGAAUACAAACUUGAAAAAUGGGCGGCUGCCUCUUCUUUCCUUUUUUUUCCCCUUUCUCCGUCUCUAGUCGUUCUCCCCUAUUCUUUGCGUAUUUUGG